GGCGAAAAGAACCCCUGUGAGGGGAGUGAAAUAGAACCUGAAACCGUAUACGUACAAGCAGUGGGAGCCCUUCGGGGUGACUGCGUACCUUUUGUAUAAUGGGUCAGCGACUUAUAUUUAGUAGCAAGGUUAAGCGAAUAGCGGAGCCGUAGCGAAAGCGAGUGUUAACUGCGCGUUUAGUUGCUAGGUAUAGACCCGAAACCCGGUGAUCUAGCCAUGAGCAGGUUGAAGGUUGAGUAACAUCAACUGGAGGACCGAACCCACUGACGUUGAAAAGUCAGGGGAUGACUUGUGGCUGGGGGUGAAAGGCCAAUCAAACCGGGAAAUAGCUCGUACUCCCCGAAAUGCAUUUAGGUGCAGCGUCGUGUGUUGCUCAUCGGAGGUAGAGCACUGGUUGGCCUAGGGGGCCUACAAGCUUACUGAAGUCAGCCAAACUCCGAAUGCCGGUGAGUUGAGCGCGGCAGUGAGACUGCGGGCG
rnacentral:rRNA from 14 species